AGCUGAAAUUUUAAUAUUUCGCCAAAUUUUAGCAAUAAAAUACAAGGAUACCUUUCCUUUUCUCACUUCACCGUUUCGGGCUUAAUUCUCAUCUACCUCCAAUCUGCAACUCCAAUUCCUUAAAUCCACCGUCUCCGUCGAACAUCUUGAUCAUCGAUCAAGGCUGUUUUGUUGCAAUUGUAGCCGAAGCCGGCGAAUCAGAAGAAGCCCUUGAUCUCAGACCAAUUUAGACCCGAUCCUUCAAUGUCCAGUACUAGGCGGAGAGGAAUACCAGUUUGAAGAAUUUGUGCAGGUGGAUUCUGAACUUCGCUCCCCAGAAGCAGGAGGUCCAAAACAUCACAGCGCACUCCCACUGGUACUGCAUUGCUCAGACUUUGUUUGGUUUGCAAUAGCGAUCCUAAGCUUGAUGUCAACUAUUCUGUAAGUAAGCUUUAAAUUUGUCAAUGACAAAUGAUUACUGAGAAAAGUGUUGUUAAUAAAGAAAGACAAAUAUAUAUAAUCACACUUGUCCACCUACACUUGCGCACAUAAUCAAGCAGAAUGUGUAAGUAGAUCACAUUAUAUGCUGGAAGAAUUAACAUGACCUAAAAAUCUGGACUUUAAGUGGGUUAUUUUAUUCUAUUUGAUGUGCUACUGCUGGUCUUUGCAUAUUCUUCUUUCUCUUAUUUGCUUAUGCGCAAUGGCCCUCGAUUCCUGCACGCACCACAAACAUCCUCGUCUUGUGCUCGAUUUGAUACAGGCCGUGGAAAACUGAAGUUAUCUUGAAGAAAGUAGUCAUUGCACUUGGCAAGAGUGUAGCUGGAAGUAUCAAAGAGUAAGGUUUGAGCUUCUUUUUCUUCUAAUAACCUGAAAUGGUCUAUUUCAGUUGUGACUAUGGAUUUUGAGGGUCUGAUUAUGAUAGAAGCUAUUUGAAGAGUAUAAGAAAUUAUAGAGGGAUUUUAUAGUAGGUUGGGAGAAGCCCAAUGUGUUUACAAUAGAGAAAAAGAGGGUUUCUCUACUAAUGGCGGCUGCAACCUUUCAAGUGGCUGCAGUUGGUUCUCUCAUUGAUCUAGCCAUUACCCAAGGUGUGGACUGUGUUGAUAGAAGUUGAGUCUCACUUUUGGCAUCUCUGCAUCAGGUCAGGCUGAAGAGAUACUUGGAAAUGAGGGAAACUCAUAUCAUGAUGGAGGGCCUUGGAGGAGAUUAUGAUCAAUUGAAGAAAUUUAAAGUGCAAGGCAGAGACUAUAUCCUCAGGCUGCUGAGAAGGCUUCACAGAUUGAUAAGCUGUUGCGCUUCCCAAACAAGAUUCAUAAUUUUAUAACCAGCUUUUGAGCAAGCAGCACUUGGAGCCUAUUAUUGAAGAGGAGCUUUUGAACGAGCACAUGGACACUAUUGAAGAGGACAUGUAGAACAAGAAACUUUCAACUAUGUCAUUUUUUUUGUUUACUGAUAAUCUGAUAUUAGUGUGCUUUGUUUAGUGUACGACUGGCUUUGAUUAUCCAACAAGAUGCUACCAGUCUACUUUGUUCUUGGGAUUUUAUGAUCUGUACCUAAAAUUAUGCCUGACCGAGACGGCUAGAAGACUCGUCUCUGAUCAAGAUGCUACCAGUAGACUUUGUUUGUGGGAUUUUAUGGUUUUUACUAAUUUUGAAUGCUAUGGAAACUUUCUAAGUA